rnacentral:rRNA from 1 species
UACAGAGGUCUCAAGCGUUGUUCGGAUUCAUUGGGCGUAAAGGGUGCGUAGGCGGCGCGGUAAGUCGGGUGUGAAAUCUUGGAGCUUAACUCCGAAACUGCAUUCGAUACUGCCGUGCUUGAGGACUGGAGAGGAGACUGGAAUUUACGGUGUAGCGGUGAAAUGCGUAGAUAUCGUAAGGAAGACCAGUGGCGAAGGCGGGGUCUCUGGACAGUUCCUGGACGGCUGAGGCACGAAGGCCAGGGGGAGCAAACGGGG